rnacentral:rRNA from 1 species
CCUACGGGGUGCUGCAGUGAGGAAUAUUGGUCAAUGGGCGGAAGCCUGAACCAGCCAAGUCGCGUGAGGGAUUAAGGCCCUGCGGGUCGUAAACCUCUUUUGCCGGGGAGCAGAGGUCCGGACGUGUCCGGGCCGGGAGAGUACCCGGAGAAAAAGCAUCGGCUAACUCCGUGCCAGCGGCCGCGGUAAUCCGGAGGAUGCGAGCGUUAUCCGGAUUGAUUGGGUGUAAAGGGUGCGUAGGCGGGUAUUUAAUCCGGCGGUAAAAUGUCGGGGCUCAACCCCGGCCUGCCGUCGAAACUGGGUGCCUUGAGUUGGCGAGAGGUAUGCGGAAUGCGUGGUGUAGCGGUGAAAUGCAUAGAUAUCACGCAGAACCCCGAUUGCGAAGGCAGCAUACCGGCGCCCUACUGACGCUGAGGCACGAAAGUGCGGGUAUCGAACAGGAGUAGAUACCCGAGUAGUC